ACUCGCUAGGUCUGGCAGCCCCGGGUCGCUUAGCGGCCGAGGAGGCGCCAGAGAUGUUCCCCUGCAGAGCUACGGGGACCGGAAGGCGAAACAGAGCUGUCGACGCGGGAGCACAUGCUGCCUACCAGUGGAGCGUAGGUCAUCAAAGCCAAAUCCGAACUUGGAUUCUGAGCGGCGGAUUGCAGAGCUGUCUUUGAGGCCCUGAGGACUGGGACAUGCGACCCCCAGUGGACAAAAGUCGGCUCUACCCCAGAGGUUAAUUUUCUCACGACAGGCACCUGUUGCAGAGGCGGCACGUAAAAUAAAGAAUCCCUACUGAAAUACAAGACAGGCACAGCCCAUGAACGUUGCUUUGGAGAAUCCUGCAGAUAAGGCUUUUCCAAAAAGCAUGGACUCUCGCUCUGUCACCCAGGCUGGAAUGCAGUGGUGAUUUCUUCUCAGCAGAUGCAGACACUUCUCUGAAGACCAACAGCAGAAUUGAAGUCUCAGGAUGGGUAAAAGCUUCUGUAAACAUCCAGAUCCACAGCCUCAACCACUUUCCCUUCACCCUGGCUGAAUACCACAUCUUGAGGCAAUCAACUACUAAAAGGCUGCUCAAACUCCCUUUUUCUGUAAUGAGACUACUUCACCCCUCUUUUUAUUUGGCUACUCUAAAUUCUCCUUUUAUAGGAAUACAACAGCCCUCAAUGACUUCUUGAGGAAAAAGAAGAUAAUCACAAAUUCAGUUUCAACAAGCAGGACAUUUUGCUAUACUAUACCAACUAAGCCAUGUUCCUCAAUCCAGCUUUUGGGAGUCUGAGAGGAAAUACCUCUCAGAGCAGGGAGUCAAGGAGAUAUAUUUGUAUUCCAAUCUGAAAACUGUACUUUGUAUAAAGGUGGCUGGUCAGGUUUCUUGUGGAGGGGUUGGGUGGUUGGACAAGAAGAGGGAUGUGAUUGGGCAUUCCUGAACCUUUGGCUCCUUAUCCUCACAGGAGGAAAGGAACUUGGGCAAAGUAGUUAACUUCUCUGCUUCAGCUUCCUGAUCAGUAAAACGGAGACAAUAACAGGAAGUCCCUGACAGGGUUGUGGUGAGAAUUAAAUGAAGGAAGACUUGAGAAGUCUUUAAAAGAGCGCCUGGUGCACUGUAAGUACUGUGCCAUAGAAUGCCAUCAUAAUGACACCAAUCGCUUCCCUCCAAACUCUCUGAGCACCCUUGUAGAUGGAUUACCUAAACCGUCCCUCCCAGACCCUUCACAGAGGAUGUCAUUAAAGGCUUUAGCUACUCUCUCUCAUGUGCAGGGGAAAAGAAUAUAAUCCCUUUAUAAGCUAACCAAAUAAAUUCUCUCAGAGCACGAACUGCCCUUGCAUGAAGAACAUACCUCCAAGGAUGCUUGCUUAGUUGGGGAGGUGAGUGAGGCUCUCUGGACCUAGCUGAGAUGGCCCAGAUCUAAAGGAAGAGAGCAGCUCAAAUUCUCCACAGAAUAAUUUAGAAACUUUGAAGGAUGGGAGCUGGUACGCCAAAGAGGUGAGGGAGCUCUAGGGUCAGGCAGGAAGCUCAAUGGAAGAGAAAUUUGAGAUAAAUUGUUCUAAUACUCUUCUGUGUAGUUUGCUGAUUUGUUGAUUUUUUUUUCCUUUUUUUUCCUUUUUUUAAAUUAUACUUUAAGUUCUGGGAUA